rnacentral:rRNA from 1 species
UCAGACGAUGCGUCAUGCAUAUCAAUAAGCGGAGGAAAAGAAACUAACAAGGAUUCCCUUAGUAACGGCGAGUGGAGCGGGAAGAGCUCAAAUUUGAAAUCUUCAAGGUUUUACCUUGACGAAUUGUAGUUUAAAGAAGUGUUUUCUGCUGAAGUUUUGGUAAAAGUUCUUUGGAAUAGGACAUCAUAGAGGGUGAGAAUCCCGUAUUUGACCAUUAUUUUCAGCUUUGUGAUACACUUUCAAAGAGUCGGAUUGUUUGGGAAUGCAGUCCAAAAUGGGUGGUAAAUUUCAUCUAAAGCUAAAUAUUGGCGAGAGACCGAUAGCGAACAAGUACCGUGAGGGAAAGAUGAAAAGAACUUUGAAAAGAGAGUUAAACAGUACGUGAAAUUGUCAAAAGGGAAGCGUUUGACACCAGUGUUGUUUUCUCGAAAAUCAAUUAAAAAUGGCUCGAUUUUGUAUUGCUUGAGACCUUAAAAGCUCACUGUACAUUUUUCGUGUCUUUUUUAAUGCACUUUUCGUUUAACAAGUCAAGCAUCAGUUUCUUUUGUUGUAAAAGGGUCAUUGGAAGGUGGCUUUCUUUUCGGAGAAAGUGUUUAUAGCCUUUGGCCUCUGCAAUCGGAGAGACUGAGGUCUGCAGCGUAGACUCUUCGGGGUUAGAUACAUUUGUGCUAAGUUAUAGCUUUUUAUAGACAACUUGUUGACUAUAAUUAGUCUUGUAGCUUACUCGCUUAUGCUAUUUUACCUACGCUUAGGAUGUUGAACUACUGAGACAUAGA